rnacentral:lncRNA from 1 species
GCUUGCGCACUGGCGGGCGGCUCCGGGCACCGUUAGUGGGCGCGAGAGCCCCAGACCCCGAAGCCGCGCGCUUCCCUCCCCAUGUGCCACGGCCCAGGGCGGCAGGCCCGGCUGAGGGCGACCCCGGUGGAGAAAGAACCCCGACCCUCCCGCCUCCCGGCUCCCGCCUUGUCCUCCGCUCCCACGCCCCACCCGGCCCUUAGGGGAGGCGCGGCGCGGCCCGGGCAUGGAGCGUCCCGGGCCCCUGGAGGCUCAGUGGAGGGUUGGGCUCCAGGGAGCUCAGAGCUCUCUCGUUCAGGGACCCGAGAGUGACACGCGUGGCAUCUCUUUGCAACCCACGUCCGCGCCGCAGCACCCUCCCCUGCAGGUGCCUGCCCAGCCCCGGGAUGCCCCUGACCUCCCCUUGGACAGACUGCAGAAAGCGCGGGGCGCUGCGUCCUCUCCACCUCUCUCUGACCCCAGACACAUUGGGAGAGAGCGGCCGUGGGGCAGAAGCCAGGAGGAGUGUCCACGCAGCCUCAGCCCGUGGGAAUCCAGCCUGCCUCCAUUACUGCCGUCACCGGCUCCACCUUCGGAGAACAUCUCAGCAUCCAGCCUCCUUCCUCUGCCUCCUCUCAGGCCUCUGCCGUUCCCAUGCAGGGCAGGCCAAACUGUUUUCACAGCAUGGAAAGUUAUGUGAGGGAAGCCACACCGGCCGCAGAUACAGGCACCAGCACAUCCACUCGCAUGCACACUCACGGCUGUGGCCCGCGGCAGAUGGAGGCCCGCUCUGCCUUGUCUGUCCCUCAGUAGUGUGCGAUGACAGCACACCUGUGGGGGCCCUGCAGCUGGGAAGACUGCAGCGAGGCUCAACUCAGAGGCCCCUGCUCAGGAGCAUGGCUGAGUCACACCCCAGGGAGAAGGUGCCCCGGACAGGUGUGGCCAGCACGUCUUGCCAAGACCCCACCACCCCACCCACCCGCAUCUGUGGCCUUCUGGAACCGAGCUGUGGCCUGGGGUUCCAUGGAGCAGGUGGGGCGCGGAGGAACUGAGCUGUGGCCUGGGGUUCCGUGGAGCAGGUUGAGUAUGGAGGAACUGGGGUUCCGUGGAGCAGGUGGGGCGCAGAGGAACCGAGCUGUGGAAUGGGGUUCCGUGGAGCAGGUUGAGUGUGCCGGUCGUGGACGGGUCGUGGGCGGGACUCCCCAGUGUGUCACCACUGAGGCAUCUUCGCCCUCUUACGUGUCUCUGUUUCUCUCUCUAGAAGUCCAACACCUCCGAGAGGACUCAAAACACAGAGUGACCAGCUCCUAUGUGCAUUUCCUGGACAAACCUUUUUUUUUUUUUUUUUUUUGAGACGGAGUCUCGCUCUGUCGCCCAG